AUUUAUUUGAUGAAUGUAUGAGAAUACUACUUGGAUAACCGUAGUAAUUCUAGAGCCAAUACAUGCAACGACGCCCGACCGUUUCACUACGGAAGGGCUGUAUUUAUUGGAUACCAAAACCAUCCUUCCCUCGGGAAGUUUUGUUUGAUGAUUCACAAUAACUGAUCGGAUCGCCACUGUGGUGGCGACAGGUCAUUCAACAUUCUGCCCUAUCAGCUUUCGAUGGUUGUGUAGUGGACAACCAUGGCCAUAACGGGUAACGGAGAAUCAGGGUUCGAUUCCGGAGAAGGAGCUUGAGAAUUGGCUACUACAUCUAAGGAAGGCAGCAGGCGCGCAAAUUACCCAAUCCCGAUUCGGGGAGGUAGUGACAAAAAAUAACAAUACCGGGCCUUUUUGGGCUUGGUAAUUGGAAUGAGGGAGAGUUAAACGGACCAUCGAGUAUCCAUUGGAGGGCAAGUCUGGUGCCAGCAGCUGCGGUAAUACCAGCUCCAAUAGCGUAUAUUAAAGUUGUUGCAGUUAAAAAGCUCGUAGUUGGACUUGUGUGCGCUGUCCGCGGGUGGCCUGCGCCCAAAAGGGCGUUUCGGUUCGGCCCCGGUGGCGCCUUGAAAUCUGCAGCUGGGGGGACGUUGGCCUUAACUGGUCGGCGACCGCACGCCGGCUGCUCGGUUACUGUGAGAAAAUUAGAGUGUUCAAGGCAGGCAUUGGGUGCAAUUGAAUACAUUAGCAUGGAAUAAUAAAAUAUGGCUCCUGCCGUAUUUUGUUGGUUUUGACUGGUGGGAGUAAUGAUUGAUAGGGACGGUUGGGGGUGCUAGUAUUGAGCGGCCAGAGGUGAAAUUCAUGGAUUCGCUCAAGACUAACUUAUGCGAAAGCAUUCACCAAGGACGUCCUCUUUAAUCAAGAACGAAAGUUGGGGGAUCGAAGACGAUCAGAUACCGUCGUAGUCUCAACCAUAAACUAUGUCGACUUGGGAUCGGCGGUAGUUUUUUCAUUAAGACACUGUCGGGACCACGGGAGAAAUCAAAGUGUCUGGACUCUGGGGGAAGUAUGGUCGCAAGGCUGAAACUUGAAGGAAUUGACGGAAGGGCACCACCAGGAGUGGAGCCUGCGGCUUAAUUUGACCCAACACGGGGAAACUUACCAGGUCCAGAGAUGUAGAGGAUUGACAGAUUGAAGCUCUUUCUUGAUCACUUCGGUGGUGGUGCAUGGCCGUUCUUAGUUGGUGGAGUGAUUUGUCUGGUUAAUUCCGUUAACGAACGAGACCUCAGCCUGCUAGUGUAGUCGGCUGGAUUGCC
rnacentral:rRNA from 1 species